CUGUCCCAAGUCAGGAGCCUGUAAUUCAGUGGUUGUCGUUUGUUUAUGUGUUACAUAUUUGUUUUUCGUUCAUUUUUAUAUAAAUAAGGCCGUUAGUUUUCUCGUUUGAAUUGUUUUACAUUGUCAUAUCGGGCCUUUUAUAGCUGACUAUGCGGUAUGGGCUUUGCUCAUUGUUGAAGGCCGUACGGUGACCUAUAGUUGUUAAUUUCUGUGUUAUUUUGGUCUCUUGUGGACAGUUGUCUCAUUGGCAAUC
rnacentral:lncRNA from 1 species